GAGAGCCAAGAGAUCCGUUGCUGAAAGUUGUAUAUAAAUUGCGUYAUAGCAAAGUAUGACAUUCUAAAACUGAAUCGUUUGUAGUAAAGCAUAAGCCCGACACCUACAAGUGCGCGAACGCACCCACAAGCCGGCCUAUGAAAAGUGCACAGAAGUUGAGAGUGGAUGAGACAGGCGUGCACAUGCCCUUGCGAGCCAGCAGACAACCCGUUCAAAACUCGAUAAUGAUCCUU
rnacentral:misc_RNA from 1 species